rnacentral:tRNA from 1 species
ACAGGUGUGAUGAAAUUUUGGUAGACAUGUUAGAUUUAGAUUCUAAUUAACUUUGUAGUUAAUGAGGGUUCGAACCCCUCUACCUGUA